GGGGCUAUAGUAAAGAGGGAUUACGCGACACUGGCAGUGUCGAAUCGGGAGUUCGAGUCUCCCUAGCUCCACCA
rnacentral:tRNA from 1 species